GACGAGGGGUCCUAGCGUUGUUCGGAAUCAUUGGGCGUAAAGCGUGUGUAGGUGGCCAUGUAAGUCAGGUGUGAAAGCCCCGGGCUCAACCCGGGAAGUGCAUCUGAUACUGCGUGGCUUGAGUACCAAAGAGGAUAGUGGAAUUCCAGGUGUAGUGGUGAAAUACGUAGAUAUCUGGAGGAACACCGGUGGCGAAGGCGGCUAUCUGGUUGAGUACUGACACUGAGACACGAAAGCGUGGGGAUCAAGCAGG
rnacentral:rRNA from 1 species